GCCUCUUGCUUGAUUGCUCUGAGGGACGGGGAAGAAAAUAGGGUGACUUGUCGUCUCCUCAAUGUUGACACGUACAAUUGGGGAACUAUGAGUUCUUUCAUCAUGUUUCAUUAGAAAUAUUUUCAACUUGGCUCAUAUACUGCAAAUAAAGAGAACUUAAAACCAGUUGCAUCUUCAGCGAGAGCGAAUUGCGUUUGUCUUAAGCUUCUAUGAUGGCUUUGACCUUUCCAGUUCAAUUGAUGGUUGACCAGUUACCAAGAAGGAGAAUAACAGAGCAGUCUAUCAAUCAGGGCAAUACAUUUGGUACCACUACCAUAUCCAGCACCAGUACACUGAUAUGGCUGGCCACAUCUUUGACCUCUGAGAACAAGAGUACUGAGAUCUCAGAGGAACUUUGGCAGGUCGCCUUCCUUCAUUCCGCGACCCCCCCCCCCCCCGCAACCUCACAACUUAACAGUCCAGAUACUGACACCCCGAUGGGAUUGUUCAUAUUAGAAAUUGUGGGAGCAUCAUCCAGUGAGCUCAUCAUUGUAACAGUUCUGUGGUUGGCUGAGGAAGAAACACACCAGGCCACUGACUAAUCAGGGAAAAAAAAGCUGAAUAUUAGUUAGGGGAGUUCAGUCAUUAACAAAAGGUUUAGCGAGCAGUAAUCCCUUUGAUAGGCAACUGGCUACUGCCUAGGAAGAAACUUGCCUUAUAGUCCAGAGUUUAGUCAAAAGGUGCAGUACGUUGCCCCUGAUGUCGAGGUAUACCAUGUCAACUUCUUGUCCAAUUCUGCAGCAAAUCUUGCCCACAUCACUCAGACUCUUAUGAGUUUUUAAAACUCUCUUCCUGAAGAAAUAGUGGAAUAUUGGAGUAUUUUAAACAUGGGUUUCGAUAGAAUCUUGGUGAAUGAUUAGAUGCAUUAGUUAGGAAUGUGAAUUUGAGGUUAUAAUCAUAUCAGCCAUAAUCUUAUUUAGCAGCUGAGCAGACUUGAGGGGCUGAAUGACCUCCUCCUACUCCUUAUUCAUGGGAUUGUCCAACAGUUUUGAGGAGUUAUCCAACUUGAUCACCAGAAUUGCUGUGUUAUUGAUGUGGUGUUAUUCAAAUUAUUUGUUAAAAUUAAAUUGAGCUGCCUGGAGUAUUCUGUGGUACAGAGAAAUUCAAUAGCAACUAGGUAACAGGUUUGCAAAACAAAGCACAUCUUUUCAAUAUUAUUGUAAUGUCAGAUGUUCAGCAGAAGAGCUACCUCAGUGAAAAGUUUGAACAAUACAUAUCAACGUCAAAUCUCGAAGGUAAAUGGUAAUGAUGCAAACUGCAUCUUGCUAAUUAAAUAUUUGGUAGAUAUUUUAUAUUUCUGGAACUUUCUAGCAUGGCAUUUAUAAGUUUAAGGGACUUCGACUUUCUCUAUAUGUGGAAUGCAGUCAUCAUGAAGUCUGAACAUUGACCCAUCCAUCAGCAGCUACAACAGCCUGGGUUCUGCCUGUAUUGCAUAAUUCACCACAGCAUUCCAUUGUAAACUCAUCUGUUUCUUUUCACUUCACAGUCAUUUCUCACAAAUAAAAAAAAAAAUUCUUCUCAUUAUGGAUCACUGGUCAUCGACUGUUGUUUCCCUGGAAGCGGAUUUUAAAAAAAAAAAACCAUGAAUAAAGUAACAACAUACUUCGUCCAUUGCCCUACUGACUUCACAGAUUAAAUUAUCUCCCAAAUAUCAUUGCUUGAUCAACUAGUGAGGAUAAAUUUUGCUAUUUCAUUUUAUAGUAAUUGAGUGUAACUGUUCUCUCUUCACAUUUGCAACUUUCUGAAUUGAAUUCCUGCACUAUAUAGAUCAGGUCUGAUCCCUGGAAGGGAUGUGUGUGUUCAUCAUAAUACCUUUGUUGUGUUCAUCUCUCAAGCUCUGUUCUGCUGCAGCUUGAAUUUAGCACAAGUGCUUUGACAUAAACGCCAUUUUACUGGAUACCCAGUUCCUUUAUCACACAGACU